GAGAGCCUGAUCCAGCCAUACCGCGUGUGUGAAGAAGGCCCUAGGGUUGUAAAGCACUUUAAGUUGGGAAGAAAAGUUAUUGGUUAAUACCCAAUGACCGUGACAUUACCAUCAGAAUAAGGACCGGCUAAUUCCGUGCCAGCAGCCGCGGUAAUACGGAAGGUCCAAGCGUUAAUCGGAAUUACUGGGCGUAAAGCGCGCGUAGGUGGUUUAUUAAGUUGGGUGUGAAAUCCCCGGGCUCAACCUGGGAACUGCAUCCAAAACUGAUUCACUAGAGUACGAUAGAGGGAGGUAGAAUUCACAGUGUAGCGGUGGAAUGCGUAGAUAUUGUGAAGAAUACCAAUGGCGAAUGCAGCCUCCUGGAUCUGUACUGACACUGAGGUGCGAAAGCGUGGGUAGCGAACAGGAUUAGAUACCCCGGUAGUCCCGCCCUAAACCAUGUCUACUAUCUGUUGGAAGCAUUGUUUUUAUGGGCACUGCUAACGAAUUAAGUUGGCCGCCCGGCCGAGUAUAACUAUAAUGUGGAAACUCAAAUGAAUUGGUUAAUCACCCGCGAAACUACCUU
rnacentral:rRNA from 1 species